AGUUGAUCAUGGCUCAGAACGACGCUGGCGGCAUGCCUAACACAUGCAAGUCGAACGAGACCUUCGGGUCUAGUGGCGCACGGGUGCGUAACGCGUGGGAAUCUGCCCUUCGGUUCGGAAUAACUCAGGGAAACUUGAGCUAAUACCGGAUAAUGACGUAAGUCCAAAGAUUUAUCGCCGAAGGAUGAGCCCGCGUAGGAUUAGCUUGUUGGUGGGGUAAUGGCCCACCAAGGCGACGAUCCUUAGCUGGUCUGAGAGGAUGAUCAGCCACACUGGGACUGAGACACGGCCCAGACUCCUACGGGAGGCAGCAGUGGGGAAUAUUGGACAAUGGGCGAAAGCCUGAUCCAGCAAUGCCGCGUGAGUGAUGAAGGCCUUAGGGUUGUAAAGCUCUUUUACCCGGGAUGAUAAUGACAGUACCGGGAGAAUAAGCUCCGGCUAACUCCGUG
rnacentral:rRNA from 1 species